CUCAGAGAGCAAGCCCCUUUGUUUGGUCCCUAGGACCAAGGCCUUUUCUGUACAUACUGACAGCCUCUGCCCAGUGUGCCUGAAACACCCAGGUCCCUAGCAGAAGGAGCCCCAAGAGAUGAGCUUGCAAGGCUUCCCUCUCAUCCCAAGCUCUGGGGCAGACCUCCGAGUCACAGAGCUGCAUUCUAGCAGCUUUUCAUAGUCUCUGGUGCCAGCCUGGGGUGGAGUGGUCUCCCAGCAUGACAGCUGUCAUUCUCCCGUACCAAUGAGACCUCUUCUGCCCCUGCUUGCAGCGGGAAGCAAUCAAUUGCCAUUGAUGACUGCACCUUCCACCAGUGUGUGCGACUCAGCAAGUUUGACUCUGAACGCAGCAUCAGCUUUAUCCCGCCAGAUGGAGAGUUUGAGCUUAUGAGGUAUCGCACAACCAAGGACAUCAUCCUUCCCUUCCGGGUGAUCCCGCUAGUGCGAGAAGUGGGACGCACCAAACUGGAGGUCAAGGUGGUCAUCAAGUCCAACUUUAAACCCUCACUGCUGGCUCAGAAGAUUGAGGUGAGGAUCCCAACCCCACUGAACACAAGCG
rnacentral:sRNA from 1 species